UGCCAGCCGCCGCGGUAAUACGGAGGGGGCAAGCGUUAUUCGGAAUUAUUGGGCGUAAAGCGCGCGCAGGUGGCUUCGCAAGUCAUAGGUGGAAUCCCUCGGCUCAACCGAGGAACUGCCUAUGAAACUGCGUGGCUCGAGGUCGGGAGGGGGUGAUGGAAUUCCCAGUGUAGCGGUGAAAUGCGUAGAUACUGGGAGGAACACCGGUGGCGAAGGCGAUCACCUGGACCGAUUCUGACACUGAGGCGCGAAAGCGUGGGGAGCAAACAGGAUUAGAUA
rnacentral:rRNA from 1 species